rnacentral:rRNA from 2 species
UCGAACGAGAAAGUUUCCUUCGGGAAACCAGUAAAGUGGCGCAAGGGUGAGUAACACGUGAAUAAUCUGCCUACGAAUUCGGGAUAACUCGACGAAAGUUGCGCUAAUACCGAAUAAGACCACGUCUCUUAUGUGAUGUGGCCAAAGGAGUCUCAAACUCCGUUUGUAGAUGAGUUCGCGGACCAUUAGCUAGUUGGAGGGAUAACAGCCCCCCAAGGCUACGAUGGUUAGCCGGCCUGAGAGGGUGAUCGGCCACACUGGAACUGAGACACGGUCCAGACUCC